CCUACGGGGCGCUGCAGUGGGGAAUAUUGGACAAUGGGGGCAACCCUGAUCCAGCCAUGCCGCGUGUGUGAAGAAGGCCCUCGGGUUGUAAAGCACUUUCAGUGAGGAAGAACGCCUGGUGGUUAAUACCCAUCAGGAAAGACAUCACUCACAGAAGAAGCACCGGCUAACUCCGUGCCAGCAGCCGCGGUAAUACGGAGGGUGCGAGCGUUAAUCGGAAUUACUGGGCGUAAAGCGCGCGUAGGUGGCUUGAUAAGCCGGUUGUGAAAGCCCCGGGCUCAACCUGGGAACGGCAUCCGGAACUGUCAAGCUAGAGUGCAGGAGAGGAAGGUAGAAUUCCCGGUGUAGCGGUGAAAUGCGUAGAGAUCGGGAGGAAUACCAGUGGCGAAGGCGGCCUUCUGGACUGACACUGACACUGAGGUGCGAAAGCGUGGGUAGCAAACAGGAUUAGAUACCCUGGUAGUC
rnacentral:rRNA from 1 species